GAUGAACGCUGGCGGCGUGCCUAAUACAUGCAAGUCGAGCGAACAGACGAGGAGCUUGCUCCUCUGACGUUAGCGGCGGACGGGUGAGUAACACGUGGAUAACCUACCUAUAAGACUGGGAUAACUUCGGGAAACCGGAGCUAAUACCGGAUAAUAUAUUGAACCGCAUGGUUCAAUAGUGAAAGACGGUUUUGCUGUCACUUAUAGAUGGUUCCGCGCCGCAUUAGCUAGUUGGUAAGGUAACGGCUUACCAAGGCAACGAUGCGUAGCCGACCUGAGAGGGUGAUCAGCCACACUGGAACUGAGACACGGUCCAGACUCCUACGGGAGGCAGCAGUAGGGAAUCUUCCGCAAUGGGCGAAAGCCUGACGGAGCAACGCCGCGUGAGUGAUGAAGGUCUUCGGAUCGUAAAACUCUGUUAUUAGGGAAGAACAAAUGUGUAAGUAACUAUGCACGUCUUGACGGUACCUAAUCAGAAAGCCACGGCUAACUACGUG
rnacentral:rRNA from 1 species